GGCAAAGCUGGGUGCCAAGCCUGGCCCUGCCACUUGCUGAGCGAUGUUGGCAGGUCACUCAUCCUCUCCGAGCUUCAGUUUCCCUCUCUUUUAGGUGAGGGAAAUGGUCAUCUUUGUUCCCAGCAGCCGCUGAACACAUUCCAUGUUAGGUAUCAUUUUGGAGAAGAGGGAGCCCCCAAACAAAGCCUAUCCUGGGAGCAAGCAGAGCCAAGAGAUGCCCACUGAUUUUUCCAGCAAACCUGUGAGGUGAGGACUAUGAAUGGCUUUCCCAUUUUAUAGAAGAAGAAACUGGCACCCAGGGAAGGGAAGGCAUCUGCUACAUCCCAGGAUCCCGCAGCCCCAAAGCGCCCCACC